AGAGUUUGAUCAUGGCUCAGAUUGAACGCUGGCGGCAUGCCUUACACAUGCAAGUCGAACGGCAGCACGGGUGCUUGCACCUGGUGGCGAGUGGCGAACGGGUGAGUAAUGCUUCGGAAUCUACCUAUGGUGGGGAAUAACCAGCCGAAAGGUUGGCUAAUACCGCAUAAGCCUACGGGAGAAAGCAGGGGAUCGUAAGA
rnacentral:rRNA from 1 species